rnacentral:rRNA from 1 species
GAUCCCCAACGGCUAGUCGACAUCGUUUACGGCGUGGACUACCAGGGUAUCUAAUCCUGUUUGCUCCCCACGCUUUCGCACCUCAGUGUCAGUAUCAGUCCAGGUGGUCGCCUUCGCCACUGGUGUUCCUUCCUAUAUCUACGCAUUUCACCGCUACACAGGAAAUUCCACCACCCUCUACCGUACUCUAGCUCAGUAGUUUUGGAUGCAGUUCCCAGGUUGAGCCCGGGGAUUUCACAUCCAACUUGCUGAACCACCUACGCGCGCUUUACGCCCAGUAAUUCCGAUUAACGCUUGCACCCUUCGUAUUACCGCGGCUGCUGGCACGAAGUUAGCCGGUGCUUAUUCUGUUGGUAACGUCAAAACAGCAAGGUAUUAACUUACUGCCCUUCCUCCCAACUUAAAGUGCUUUACAAUCCGAAGACCUUCUUCACACACGCGGCAUGGCUGGAUCAGGCUUUCGCCCAUUGUCCAAUAUUCCCCACUGCUGCCUCCCGUAGGAGUCUGGACCGUGUCUCAGUUCCAGUGUGACUGAUCAUCCUCUCAGACCAGUUACGGAUCGUCGCCUUGGUAGGCCUUUACCCCACCAACUAGCUAAUCCGACCUAGGCUCAUCUGAUAGCGUGAGGUCCGAAGAUCCCCCACUUUCUCCCUCAGGACGUAUGCGGUAUUAGCGCCCGUUUCCGGACGUUAUCCCCCACUACCAGGCAGAUUCCUAGGCAUUACUCACCCGUCCGCCGCUGAAUCCAGGAGCAAGCUCCCUUCAUCCGCUCGACUUGCAUGUGUUAGGCCUGCCGCCAGCGUUCAAUCUGAGCCAGGAUCAAACCCUC